rnacentral:rRNA from 1 species
UUGAUCUCAAAUCAGGUAGGACUACCCGCUGAACUUAAGCAUAUCAAUAAGCGGAGGAAAAGAAACUAACAAGGAUUCCCCUAGUAACUGCGAGUGAAGCGGGAAGAGCUCAAAUUUAAAAUCUGGCGUGCCUCUGGUCGUCCGAGUUGUAGUCUGGAGAAGUGUUUUCCGUGUUGGACCGUGUACAAGUCCCUUGGAACAGGGCGUCAUAGAGGGUGAGAAUCCCGUCUUUGACACGGACUACCAAUGCUUUGUGAUGCGCUCUCAAAGAGUCGAGUUGUUUGGGAAUGCAGCUCAAAAUGGGUGGUAAAUUCCAUCUAAAGCUAAAUAUAGGCGAGAGACCGAUAGCGAACAAGUACCGUGAGGGAAAGAUGAAAAGCACUUUGGAAAGAGAGUUAAACAGUACGUGAAAUUGCUGAAAGGGAAACGCUUGAAGUCAGUCAUGUCUGCCAGGACUCAGCCUUGCUUCUGCUUGGUGUACUUUCUGGUCUGACGGGCCAACAUCAAUUUUGACCGUUGGAGAAAGGCUUUGGGAACGUGGCACCUUCGGGUGUGUUAUAGCCCAUUGUUGUAUACAACGGUUGGGAUUGAGGACUGCAGCACGCCUUCAUGGCCGGGGUUCGCCCACGUACGUGCUUAGGAUGUUGGCAUAAUGGCUUUAAGCGACCCGUCUUG